UUUCGUGGAAAUCUCAUUGUUAUGUUUUUUUCAAUGAGAUUCGAUUUUGAGCAGAUUGAUUUGUGUUCUACUAUAUUUGGGUUUCAAACUAGUGAUCUUUCUCUCUGAGGAAAUUGCAACAUGAACAAAGUACCAAGAGUGUUAGUUUUAUGUUAGAAUUAUAUCUAAAUACCAGCAAAAUUUGAGCUGUUGAUUAAGUAUUUUUAUAUAAAUUAAGCACUACCAUGUCCUCGUAAUGAUAUGUUCUAUUUCACUUAUGUGAUAGAUAAUGAAAUGUACCUAAGCAAAGUUAGUGGAACUGUAUCGCAUUGAAAGGUUAGUAGAGCCUUUUUGUGGGUCACAAGUUGAAUUGCAAAAAAGUAAUGCUAUGCCCGCUCCAAAAGUAGAUGUGAGUAGAUAUUUAGUUAAAAAACUGGUUCGUUUGGACUCUGUGGGACGCGCAUUAUAUGAUUUAAAUUCAUUGAUUUUGAUUCUGUAUGUUCUGAUAUCAAAAUUUAUGUCAUAAAAUUAAUGAUGAAUGUGGGAAUUGAACUUAAAACCUCUUGGAACAGAAAAGGCUUAUGAUAUACCAUAUUAUCCAAAAGUUCGAUUAGAAUAUUCCGACAUCUAAAUAACCUAAGAGCAGACAAAGCUAAAGAAUCAAAUGGCAGCCAGGAGAAGAUGGGUGAUUUAGUUGGCAAAUAAAAUUCAAGAAAAUUUAACCUGAGAUAAAAACUGCACAACAUAAAUAAAAGAAAGAAAAGAAGAAAGC
rnacentral:lncRNA from 1 species